GAACGCUGGCGGCAGGCUUAACACAUGCAAGUCGAACGGUUGUAGCAAUACAGCAGUGGCAGACGGGUGAGUAACACGUGGGAACCUUCCUAGGGGUACGGAACAACUCAGGGAAACUUGAGCUAAUACCGUAUACGUCCGUGAGGAGAAAGUUUUAACGCCCCUAGACGGGCCCGCGUAGGAUUAGGUAGUUGGUGAGGUAACGGCUCACCAAGCCUACGAUCCUUAGCUGAUCUGAGAGGAUGAUCAGCCACACUGGGACUGAGACACGGCCCAGACUCCUACGGGAGGCAGCAGUGGGGAAUCUUGGACAAUGGGCGCAAGCCUGAUCCACCAUGCCGCGUGAGUGAAGAAGGCCUUCGGGUUGUAAAGCUCUUUUACCAGGGACGAUAAUGACGGUACCUGGAGAAUAAGCCCCGGCAAACUUCGUGCCAGCAGCCGCGGUAAUACGAAGGGGGCUAGCGUUGUUCGGAAUUACUGGGCGUAAAGCGCACGUAGGCGGAUUGUUAAGUCAGAGGUGAAAUCCCGGAGCUCAACUUCGGAACUACCUUUGAUACUGGCAAUCUCGAGUCCGGAAGAGGUUAGUGGAAUUCCCAGUGUAGAGGUGAAAUUCGUAGAUAUUGGGAAGACAACCAGUGGCGAAGGCGGCUAACUGGUCCGGUACUGACGCUGAGGUGCGAAAGCGUGGGG
rnacentral:rRNA from 1 species